rnacentral:SRP_RNA from 1 species
GCCGGGCACGGUGGCACGUGCCUGUAGUACCAGCUACUCAGGAGGCUGAGGUGGGAGGAUCCCUUGAGCCCAGGAGUUGUGGGCUGUAGUGCGCUAUGCCGAUUGGGUGUCCACACUAAGUUUGGCAUCAAUAUGGUGACCUCCCGGGAGUGGGGGGCCACCAGGUUGCCUAAGGAGGGGUGAACUGGCCCAGGUCGGAAAUGGAGCAGGUCAAAACUCCCGUGCUGAUCAGUAGUGGGACCGCGCCUGUGAAUAGCCACUGCACUACAGCCUGGGCAACAUAGCGAGACCCCGUCUCU